GCCUCGGUAGCUCAGUCAGUAGAGCGUGCGCUUGGUAAGCGUAAGGUCGGGAGUGCAAAUCUCCCCCGAGGCU
rnacentral:tRNA from 2 species